rnacentral:rRNA from 1 species
AACAAGGUCUCCGUUGGUGAACCAGCGGAGGGAUCAUUAUCGAGUUAUUCAACUCCCAAACCCUAUGUGAACUUACCACUUGUUGCUUCGGCGCGCGCUUCGGCGCCGCCGAGGACACUUAAACUCUUUGUUUUUAUAAGCAUUUCUGAGUGGCCGAAAGGCAAAAAUACAAAUGAAUCAAAACUUUCAACAACGGAUCUCUUGGUUCUGGCAUCGAUGAAGAACGCAGCGAAAUGCGAUAAGUAAUGUGAAUUGCAGAAUUCAGUGAAUCAUCGAAUCUUUGAACGCACAUUGCGCCCGCCAGCAUUCUGGCGGGCAUGCCUGUUCGAGCGUCAUUUCAACCCUCGAGCCCGACUCUUUUGAGGACGGCUCGGCGUUGGGGGACGGCAGACUCCCCCCGGCAUCUCGCCGGGGACGCCGCCCCCGAAAUCUAGUGGCGGCCCUCCGAGGCGACCUCUGCGUAGUAACUUGUUCUCGCACCGGAAAGCUCAGAGCGGCCACGCCGUAAAACCCCAACUUUUUUCAGGAGGGACCUCGAAUCAGGUAGGACUACCCGCUGAACUUAAGAAGGUCAAUAAGCGGAGGA